AUCGAUCAAACUAUUGCAGAUAGUUCUUACUAUAGAGAUGACGUUACUCCAACUGUUGUUGAUCUACAAAUCAUUGAAGAAAGAGUUAACACGGGUCCACCAUUGAACAUAGACGAUAGUUUUAUAAAUGACGAAGAGCAGAAUGUUGAAGUAUCUCAUUCUAAAAGUUCAGAGACUUUAGAAUCAAAUGAAUUUGAAAGUGAUUAAGUAUGGCUCGAAACACACAAGGGGAGGUCGACGAUAUAUUCGAGGAAGGGCAACGGGAGGAAGCUUUGGGAGACGACUCCGAAGACAUCCCUUCCAGUAGUGCUACUCAGUCUCGUAAGGGACGGGGAGUAACUCGGUGUGUACAAUUGGACAAGGAGGUGGGAAAAGAUGGGCCUGUCUCUAUUGUAAUGGACGAGUUCUCAUAGAAGCCAAUAUGCAAGAAUGCCACACGCAUGUCAAAUGCCAUAGGAUCCAUUGUUCGAGAGAAUUUCGACCCAGCACUGUACUCCCGUUGGUUGGACGUAUCGAUGGAAGUUAGGGAUGCAGCAAAACAACGCAUAGUGGUACUUUUGGGAGUUACUAUUCUGCAAGGCUUCACGUGUUAGAAGAUUAGAUAGGUGAAACUUUUUUGGAUAGGUGCAACUUUUGUAGACGGGUGCAACUUUUGUAGAGAUGAAGUUUUUGCGUACAGGUGCAACUUUUGUGGAUAGGUGCAACUCUUGUAGAAAUACAGUAUUUGCAUACCGGUGCAACUUUUGUUGUGAUGUAAUAUUUUAUUAUUAUAUCCUCAACGAUUGUAACGUACAUAAAUUAGGGAUACAAAUUUUGUAACAUACAUCCUGAACUCAUAUUAAUUGAUAUUUUGAUAAUGUGAAUUUAAAUAUCAUAAA